rnacentral:rRNA from 1 species
GACGAACGCUGGCGGCGUGCUUAACACAUGCAAGUCGAACGGAAAGGCCCUUCGGGGUGCUCGAGUGGCGAACGGGUGAGUAACACGUGGGUGAUCUGCCCUGCACUUUGGGAUAAGCCUGGGAAACUGGGUCUAAUACCGAAUAUGAUCAUCGGCUUCAUGGUCGGUGGUGGAAAGCUUUUGCGGUGUGGGAUGGGCCCGCGGCCUAUCAGCUUGUUGGUGGGGUAAUGGCCUACCAAGGCGACGACGGGUAGCCGGCCUGGGAGGGUGACCGGCCACACUGGGACUGCGAUACGGCCCAGACUCCUACGGGAGGCAGCAGUGGGGAAUAUUGCACAAUGGGCGCAAGCCUGAUGCAGCGACGCCGCGUGAGGGAUGACGGCCUUCGGGUUGUAAACCUCUUUCAGCACAGACGAAGCGCAAGUGACGGUAUGUGCAGAAGAAGGACCGGCCAACUACGUGCCAGCAGCCGCGGUAA